rnacentral:rRNA from 1 species
UACGUAGGGGGCGAGCGUUGUCCGGAAUGAUUGGGCGUAAAGGGUACGUAGGUGGCCAUUCAAGUUAGUAGUGAAAUCCCAGGGCUCAACUCUGGUGCUACUACUAAGACUGUGUGGCUUGAGUGCAGGAGGGGUAAGUGGAAUUCCUAGUGUAGCGGUGGAAUGCGUAGAUAUUAGGAAGAACACCAGUGGCGAAGGCGACUUACUGGACUGUAACUGACACUGAAGUACGAAAGCGUGGGGAGCAAAC